UACGUAGGGCGCGAGCGUUGUCCGGAAUUAUUGGGCGUAAAGAGCUCGUAGGCGGCCUGUUGCGUCCGCUGUGAAAUCCCAGGGCUUAACCCUGGGCGUGCAGUGGAUACGGGCAGGCUGGAGGCAGGCAGGGGAGAACGGAAUUCCCGGUGUAGCGGUGAAAUGCGCAGAUAUCGGGAGGAACACCGGUGGCGAAGGCGGUUCUCUGGGCCUUACCUGACGCUGAGGCGCGAAAGCUAGGGGAGCGAACAGG
rnacentral:rRNA from 1 species